rnacentral:tRNA from 1 species
GGUCUUAUAGUUUAUUAAAAAAAUUUUAAAAUGCAAGUUUAAAGAAAAGAGUUUUAAGACUU